GGGAGUAAGGCUGGGAAGGAAACCUACAGGGGCCACGCUGAACAGGCCACGAGGUGUCCCUGGGAGAGAAGAGUCCCCAGGAAGCAUGGGGAUGAUGGGGAGGUAUCCACCAGCACCUUUCCUUCUUGGGUGGGAGUGACUCCUGGGGACACCCACCACCUCCUGGCACAUAAGUUGCAGCCUGCGUGAGUCGGGGGCAGCCCGGGAACAGGUUCCAGCAUGGAAGCCCAGAAGCCACCGGGUUCUACAGAGCCAUCUGCAGGUGAGCUCUGAGACCAGUGGGGGACAUGCAGGUGUGGCCCCACAAGCAUCUGCUACAGACAGCCUGGGGAAUAGUGUCCCCGCUCCACCACCAAUUCACAUCCCCCUGGAACCUGUGAAUCGGGUCUUACUUGGAAACGGUCUCUGCAGAUGGCAUCAGGUGAAAAUGUGGGUGUAUAUUAAAUGACGGCCGGUGUCCUUAUAACAGGAGGGGAACUGGGACACAGACACAGGGGAAAGACGGUCACGUGAUGACUGCAGCCACCUGUCAUCACGUGAUGCCGCCGCAAGCCGAGGAAUGCUGAAGCCGCCAGAGACCGGAAGAGCAGGAAUCACGGCUGGCUGGACCUGCCAGGCGGAGUGUGGCCCUGGCGACCCCUUGAUUUGGGACUUCUGACCUCCAGAACUGCAGGAGAAGAAAUCUUUCAGCCCCCUGGUUUGUGGUACUUUGUUACCACAGCCACAGGGGACAAUACAGCUAGUCACGACCGUUCUGUGCCUCGGUUUACUCGACCGACAAAAGAGAAAGCAAAGGAGGCUCCAUCCCUGACUGUUGAUGGACAACUCCUCCUGGGCAGGUGAAUGAAGACCCCACCCCAACGUCAGCAGAGCUGUGCCCCUGACGGCACAAAGCCACAGGCCAUGAGUGUUUUGGAGUACCUACUGUGUGCCAGUGACCGUCCCAGAUUCUGGGGACACAGAAGUAUGUAUAGGAAUAGAGGUCCUUUUGUAUGACUAUUAUGCAUCCAUCAUAACUACAAAUAAACCAUCUUAUAAACA